GAUUAAAUGGCUGAAAUAAGGCGAUAGGUUGUAAAUCUAUUUAUGAAUAAAAUUCUUUAAUCA
rnacentral:tRNA from 1 species